UUUAGGGCUGGGUUGUCGUGAUUUCCUCAGACAGUAGAGAAUGCAUAAUCUCGAAUCCCAGGUACUGUUACCGCAGCUGUUUUAAGCUAGUUCCGUUCGAGGGCCCUGUUGAUGACAACGUGCAGGAUUUUUGCAAGGGGAGACCUAUCAUGCAGCAGGUGCCAGUGCCAUGCGAUCAGAACAUGGGCUGCUGUUGCCGUUGGAGACGCAUUGCAUGGUGGCCCUGCUUGGAACCGGUUUGCCACGCUAACGAUGAGUCUGACAUCUGCGUGGAUUGGGGUUGCGCCAAAUGGGCUUGGCACUGGCACUGGAUUCAAGACUGCGUGAGCGGCUG